rnacentral:rRNA from 1 species
CCAAUAGCGUAUAUUAAAGUUGUUGCAGUUAAAAAGCUCGUAGUUGAAUUUCGGGACCAAUCAGCCGGUCGUGCCUCCGGUACGCACUGGUUUUAUUGGUUUCUCCCUUCUGACGAACCAUGAUGUCAUUAAUUUGGUGUCAUGGGGAAUCAGGACUGUUACUUUGAAAAAAUUAGAGUGUUUAUAGCAGGCUCACGCCUGAAUACAUUAGCAUGGAAUAAUGAAAUAGGACGUUUGACCCUAUUUUGUUGGUUUCUAGGAUCGACGUAAUGAUUAAUAGGGAUAGUUGGGGGCAUUAGUAUUCAAUUGUCAGAGGUGAAAUUCUUGGAUUUAUUGAAGACUAACUACUGCGAAAGCAUUUGCCAAGGAUGUUUUCAUUAAUCAAGAACGAAAGUUAGGGGAUCGAAGACGAUCAGAUACCGUCGUAGUCUUAACCAUAAACUAUGCCGACUAGGGAUCGGAUGAUGUUAAUUUUUUAAUGACUCAUUCGGCGCCUUACG